AACGAACGCUGGCGGCGUGCCUAACACAUGCAAGUCGAACGUGAUUAGAGGGCUUGCUCUCUAUGAAAGUGGCGCACGGGUGAGUAACACGUAGAUAAUCUGCCUGGUGAUUUGGGAUAACACUUCGAAAGGGGUGCUAAUACCGGAUAAGCCCACGGAGUCCUUGGACUCUGCGGGAAAAGGAGGGGACCUUCGGGCCUUCCGUCAUCAGAUGAGUCUGCGUACCAUUAGCUAGUUGGUAGGGUAAAGGCCUACCAAGGCGACGAUGGUUAGCUGGUCUGAGAGGAUGAUCAGCCACACUGAAACUGAGACACGGUCCAGACUCCUACGGGAGGCAGCAGUGGGGAAUUUUGCGCAAUGGGGGAAACCCUGACGCAGCAACGCCGCGUGAGUGAUGAAGGCCCUUGGGUCGUAAAGCUCUGACAGAGGGAAAGAAAUGUGGGUGGCUAAUAUCCAUUCCACUUGACGGUACCCUCAAAGGAAGCACCGGCUAACUCCGUGCCAGCCGCCGCGGUAAUAC
rnacentral:rRNA from 1 species